GCUUGCUGGGGGAUUAGUGGCGAACGGGUGAGUAACACGUGAGUAACCUGCCCUUGACUCUGGGAUAAGCCUGGGAAACUGGGUCUAAUACCGGAUAUGACCAUCUGGCGCAUGUCAUGGUGGUGGAAAGCUUUUGCGGUUUUGGAUGGACUCGCGGCCUAUCAGCUUGUUGGUGGGGUAAUGGCCUACCAAGGCGACGACGGGUAGCCGGCCUGAGAGGGUGACCGGCCACACUGGGACUGAGACACGGCCCAGACUCCUACGGGAGGCAGCAGUGGGGAAUAUUGCACAAUGGGCGAAAGCCUGAUGCAGCGACGCCGCGUGAGGGAUGACGGCCUUCGGGUUGUAAACCUCUUUCAGUAGGGAAGAAGCGAAAGUGACGGUACCUGCAGAAGAAGCGCCGGCUAACUACGUGCCAGCAGCCGCGGUAAUACGUAGGGCGCAAGCGUUAUCCGGAAUUAUUGGGCGUAAAGAGCUCGUAGGCGGUUUGUCGCGUCUGCUGUGAAAGACCGGGGCUCAACUCCGGUUCUGCAGUGGGUACGGGCAGACUAGAGUGCAGUAGGGGAGACUGGAAUUCCUGGUGUAGCGGUGAAAUGCGCAGAUAUCAGGAGGAACACCGAUGGCGAAGGCAGGUCUCUGGGCUGUAACUGACGCUGAGGAGCG
rnacentral:rRNA from 1 species